UUUAGCCGUUACUCGGCGUUUAUGAUCACAAAGUGAUUAUGAGCAAUUACAGAUAGUGAGCACCAAAAAAAAAUGUUCUAGUCUUAAAUUGGGAAUUCCUCUAAGGAUUUCCUCUAAGCAAAAAAUCUUACAUAUUAAUGGUAUAUUCUUUUAGAUAUACGUAUUCAUCUAUAAAAGAGUGGAUGCGUGAACUAUACUCAAUAGUAAAUUCCUCUAUCAGAAAUAUCACUAUGUAAUUUGAAUAGCCUCUUGAAAUAAGAGGAUAUGCAAGAUAUUCGCGGCACGCGCGCUUGUUAGAAAAAGAUUGUCAUUUAAGUAUUUGUUUUGUGACAAUCGACUGCAUGAUGCGCAGAGGUGAUCGCGAACGGCGCGAACCGAUCAGUGAAGCGCUGAGCGCACACAUACGCAGUUCUUGCUUGGUGUGUCAUGCUUCACUAUCGUGAGUCGUAAUCCGCGGUUGCUGUCUGGCACACAGUGUGCGUCAUAGCGAGUCGUGUAGCGUGUGCACUGAAUUUCAGUUUGUGUUUGUUCUUUCGUGCAGUGAUAUCAUGAACGAAGUUCAGAAAUUUUUAAGCGAAGCACAUUUAGGCAACUAUUGGCCCGCAUUUGAGAAUUUUUCUGCUGGGACUUGUCCUCGUUUUACGAAUACUACGCAGCUGAUACAGGACCGCAAAGUUUUCGGCCAAGUUUCGCUCGAGAAUCGAGAGUAAAUUUCGUCAAACGCGCGAUAACUUCAACGUAAGUACCACAAUCUUGUAAGAAAUAUCUCAAUAUAAAUUUUACAAUUUACAGACAGAUAUAUUUCAUAUAAAAGAUGUUAAUAUUUCUUUCAAGUACUGGUGUAAUUUUUAUUUUAGAUUUUUCGAAUAGACAAUUUUAUGAAGUAACAAGGCGAGCUGAGCAAAGUCUGGAGGUCGUCUCCACAAACUGUAAGUUUUAAUGAAGCACACGUGCAAGAUAUUCCUCUUGUUGCGUUAUUUUUACCGCAGAGAUUGGUCAAUAAUCCCUAUCUUUGGUUUCGAAGGUCGCAAUAAUAUUUUAUUGUGCUUAUCCAGUGCAUGCUUCUGAAUGCUCACGCAUUCACGGGUAAAACCGUCGAAUAAAAUGGUAAAUUAAUUUUUGAGAUAUUAAAAAGAAAUGCGAUUUCGACAAAUGAAAACGUACCUAUGCUGCUGAUAUAACUGCUCACGGAAAUACAAGUAGAGCAUUUAAAUUUUUUUAUCAUCUUAUAUGAUUAUCAUUUUAUAUGAUUAUCAUUUUAUAUAAGCUAUAUUUUUAUUUGAUAUGUAAUAUAAAUACGACAAUCGUUGUACCCUAUAACAUUUCACUAAUUUUUCUGAAAUUGCGCUGAUAGCGUAUCAAUAAAUAAAAGAGACCUGAACAUUUUUAUCUCGACCUUUUCCAUUCAUGACUGGUCCUUAGAAAAUAUCUGAAGCGUAUAUGCAUGAACGCAGUCGCCCGUGUUACGAUGCGUCGGAGAGCCGCUCCGGGCGAGUUGGAAAAAUCCGAGACCAGCAUCGAAAUCAGGACGGCGGCAUCGGCUGCGUGUCCCACAUUUCCCCAGUCUCGUUUUUUUCGAGGAGCCAGUAAAUAUGAAAAAAAGCAGAGAAAGACAUUUUGCCUCUUUGAAUUAUUUCGAGAUGGAGAGAUCUCUUGCGUAAAUUACAGGCCAGAAAAUACAAGAAACAAUAAAAAGAUAAAAUCCGGUUACAAGUGAAAGAAAACAGAAGAGAGAGAGAGAGAGAGAAAUUAAAUUCUCCGAUAUUACAUUAAGUGCGCAAAUUCGCGCUUGUUUGAAUUCUCAAUUCGGUGCUUGUUUGACAAAAUUGAAUCUUUAUUUACAAAAAUAUAAAUAUAAUAAAAAUGUCAAUCUCUCUAUUCGAAAUAUUCGCCAUCAUUUUCUAAUACUUUUCUACAUCCAUCGAGCAGCUGCUGAAUUUUCUCUCGAAAACGAGAAAGUAAAUAAAGCUCAAUUUCUUGAAAAAAAAUCAUCGAAUUAAGUUUUGCGCAUCUAAUAUUUUUAAUAAUAACAAACACGGUAUCUCAGAUAUAAUGAACAAACAAGGAUGAAAAGCGCUCGUGUGUAGUUAAGACUUUCGACGGGGAGAGAGAGAGAGAGAGAGGGGGAGAGAGAGAGAGAGAGAGAGAGAGAGAGGGAGAGAGAGAGACUAUAGCUGGAUCUUCGCUGGAGAAGGGUUUAAUCGGAUCGCUUUCGUCAACUUGAGACGAGGCGAAUAUUCCAUCGUGUUGCACGUCCAUCCACGUCUAUUCACGUCGACUAGGCAGCAUCUUCGAGAACAUCCCGACGUUUGAUAGGUACACGAAUCGGUAGGCAAACAUUUGGCUUGCUUCGGGGGCAAUAUCAUAUUAACCCAGUUUCAUUUCCGCAAAUUAAUCGUUGGUCCUCUUAUCACGAUGGAGAUGCUACCGCGUUUCCAUCAUAUUCGCGCAAUUCGUGUAAUUAAUAAUUCGUUACCGCGCGAUUCAUGUUGGAAGAACAUCGUCGAGAGAAUAGAAAUUAUUGUAUAUGACACAUCUUCGUUUACUUUAAAGGCAAGUGAUACGAUAUAUCAGUUCAUUCGCGCGUUUGCUAAUUCUCGAACGGUAAACACACAAAAGCAUAAACGUGCAUCUCGAUGUGUUGCAGUUGCCUGCAUUCGGCAACAAUGGCGAGAAGCUAUUGUUCCUCAUGUUAAAGAGGCGUUACAGUUUGAGUACCCAUGAAAUCUUGACAAGCUUUCUGAAACGAGAAACGUCGCGUCUAGAAACAUCUAGAAAUCUCGCAAAUAGCGCGAAUUUUACAGCUUUAUAUCUAAUAGAAAAAGAUUUUGUGAAGAAAUAUUAUUACACGUUUGAAUUUUUAUUUUAGGGAAAAUGGAUAAAGAAGUAAACGUGACGGUACGUUUAAUGGAAUAAGUGGCAAAUUAUAAGAAAAAUGCAAAAUUUUUUUAAAACAUUGUUAUUAAUUUUCUACACGUAUACAUAUUCACAUCUUUUUAGUCACAAACGCAAUCAGUCGAAUUACAUACAAUCGCGUUCUAUUCCCAUACGACCGACGCAGCAUUCACACACGCAUACAUAUUCUUCUGUCGCGUCGUCGCAUUGAAAAUACAUCUCGCAAAUACGUUACGCAUUAGGCUUUUGUUAUGCAGAAUGCGUGGUCGCAGGCAACUUUUUCAGGAUGAAUACAACUAAUGAGUCGCGUUUUGCAAUUUAAUGUCCCCGUUGUAGCACGGGCAAGCGGUAAGUUAUGACAUUAUCUUUUAAUCUUCUUCAAAAUGAGCAAUUUAAUGCAUUAAUAGGAAUAUUUAAUGUUUAGAAAGAGAAAAAAAUAUAUGAUUAAAAAAUAUCUUUCCACGUGUGGAUUUGAAACAUGUGGAUUUGAAACGUGUGGAUUUGAAACAUGUACUCAAGAAUCCUUAAUAUCGUAUAUAUUUUAAUAAUUACCUCCAUGAUUUUGAUUAUAAUCUAGUUAAUAACAAAUAUUAUAUAAUAAAAUAUGAAAUAUUCGUUAUCACACGAAUUGUUUCGACUACCUGAAGUAAAUACAUGAAAAGGGAUAUGUCGAUAUACAUGUAGAAAAAGAAGGGAAUAAGGAUAUGUUUAUCUUUAUUACUUUGCCUAAUAAGUAUUGCAAUAUUUUGUCGCAAUUUCGUUCAGGAAUUAGACGUCACGAUUUACAGAAAUCGCGUUAAAGUAAAUAUAGUCGCGUAACUUGGCUGCUGCAUGCGUGUGACCACGCAUCCAAAAUAACCGCAAUCAUGAACAUUUGCAAGAUACUUCGAUCUCGAGAUAUCGAUCUAGAAUCUAGGAAACUUGCGCGCCCGUAACAAGUUUUUCUUCUUUUGCGCUAUUGUCAUUAAAAUACUACGUGUUACGUUCCGCAUCAUAAAUACGAAUUUUUGUCCAAAACUCAUUUUGAACAACUGAUAAUUCACAUAUCAAAGUGCCUUAAUUUUAUUUUUGAAAUAUAUUUAUAUAUGUAUGCGUACGCGCACACACACACACACACACACACACACACACACACACACACACACACACACACACACACACAUAUACAAUUUUCCAAUUUUGUUGUGAAUUGUGGAUCGUUCAAAAUGGCUUUU